rnacentral:snRNA from 1 species
GUGCUUGCAUCAUCAUAUGUACUAAAAUUGGAAUGAUACAGAGGAGAUUAGCAUGUCCCCUGUGCAAAGAUGACACACAAAUUCAUGAAGUGUUCCAACUGUAC